AAAUGUUCAGGUCAUUGACUGUAAUAUUGAGCGAUUUAUUGAUAAACAUUGUUCAUCAGACGCUCGCCACUAAAGUAAAUGGCCCAAACCUUCCCAGAGACACAGAGUAAAAUUUAAUACACUUGUAUAUGUGGACAGAACUAAGCCAGGAUGUCCAUUGCCAGAGGGAUUCUUUCUGUCAGGGCUUCCACCAAGUGCCACUAUUAUAGUACCUCAUCUGUCCCCCAUAAGAUGUCUUGACAUGUCAACAUUGCUUCAAGAUGCCAUCUAUGUCAUUCUAUUGCUGAGUGUCUUUGUGAACCAUGUCAGUAUUGAAAUAAGAUGUCACCCUUAUAUUGCCAUUCUAGCCUGAAGUAAAAAUUCAGUGUAUGUUCCAGCAAUUGCAGGUGAAGGAAGAUGGCCUCCCAACUCCCCUUCUAGCCAUCCCAUACCCCCCUCUAGUGUGAAGUAGUCAGAUGCUAUCUUGAGAUAAGAAUAAAAGAAGAGUGCUUUUGUCAAAACCUGUGAUCAGGAGCCUACAGUACUACCACAUUACCAUUACCAGAGGUUCUUGCACUGUACCAUGAUACCAGAGGUGGUCGUCCUAUACCUGUGUGUUGUAUUUUACUUUGUAUUUCUGCAAAUUUUCAGGUCAUUGACUCUAAUAUUGAGCGGUUUAUUGAUAAACAUUUGUUCAUCAGACGCUCGCCACUAAAGUAAAUAACCCAAACCUUCCCAGAGACGCAGAGUAAAAUUCAAUACACCUGCAUGUGGACAGAACUAAGCCAGGAUGUCCAUUGCCAGAGGGAUUCUUUCUGUCAGGGCUUUCACCAAGUACCAUUAUUAUAGUACAUCGUCCUUCCCCCGGCCAUAAGAUGUCUUGCCAUGUCAACAUUGCUUCAAGAUGUCCUCCAUGUCAUUCUAUUGCAGAAUGUCUUUGUGAACCAUGUCAGUAUUGCAAUAAGAUGUCAUCCUUAUAUUGCCAUUCUAUCCAGAAGUAGAAAUCCAGUUAUGUUCCAGCAAUUGUUGGUGAAAGAAGAUGGCCUCCCUACUCCCCUUCUAGCCAUCCCAUACCCCCCCUCUAGUGUGAAGUAGCCAGAUGCUAUCUUGAGAAAGGAAUAAAAGGCGUGUUUUUGUCAAAACAUCAGAUCAGGAGCCUAUAGUACUACCACGUUGCCAUUGCCAGAAGUUCUUCCACUGUACCAGGAUACCAGAGGUGGUCGUCCUAUACCUGUGUGUUUGUAUUUUACUUUGUAUUUCUGCAAAUGUUCAGGUCAUCGACUCUAAUAUUGAGCGAUUUAUUGAUAAACAUUUGUUCAUCAGACGCUCGCCACUAAAGUAAAUGGACUAAACCUUCCCAGAGAGACAGAGUAAAAUUCAAUACACCUGUACGUGGACAGAACUAAACUAGGAUGUCCAUUGCCAAAGGGAUUCUUGAUGUCAGGGCUUCCACCAAGUGCCAUUAUAACACUACAUUGUCUUUCCCCCAUAAGAUGUCUUGCCAUAUCAACAUUGCUUCAAGAUGUCCUCCAUGUCAUUCUAUUGCAUAGUGUCUGUGUGAACCAUGUCAGCAUUGCAAUCCAUUCUAGCCAGAAGUAGAAAUUCAGUGUAUGUUCAAGCCAAUGUCGGUGUAAGAAGAUGGCCUCCCAACUCCCCUUCUAGCCAUCCCAUACCCCCCUCUAAUGAAAAGUAGACAGAUGCUAUCUUGAGAUAGGAAUAACAGGAGUGUUUUUGUCAAAACUUGCGAUCAGGAGACUACAGUACUACCACAUUACCAUUACCAGAGGUUCUUGUGCUGUACCAUGAUACCAGAGGUGGUCGUCCUAUACCUGUAUAUUCUAUUUUACUUUGCAUUUCUGCAAAUUUUCAGGUCAUUGACUCUAAUAUUGAGCGAUUUAUUGAUAAACAUUUGUUCAUCAGACGUUCGCCACUAAAGUAAAUGGCCCAAACCUUCCCAGAGACACAGAGUAAAAUUCAAUACACUUGUAUAUGUGGACAGAACUAAGCCAGGAUGUCCAUUUCCAGAGGGAUUCUUUCUGUCAGGGCUUGUACCAGAACUAUACCAGGAUGUCCAUUGCCAAGGGGUUUCUUGCUGUCAGGGCUUCCACCAAGUGCCAUUAUUAUACUACAUUGUCUUGCCCCCAUAGAUGUCUUGCCAUAUCAACAUUGCUUCAAGAUGUACUCCAUGUCAUUCUAUUGCAGAGCGUCUUUGUGAACCAUGUCAACACAACAAUAAGAUGCCAUCCUUAUAUUGCCAUUCUAUCCAGAAGUAGAAAUCCAGUUAUGUUCCAGCAAUUGUCGGUGUAAGAAGAUGGUCUCCCAACUCCCCUUCUAGCCAUCCCAUACCCCCCUCUAAUGAAAAGUAGACAGAUGCUAUCUUGAGAUAGGAAUAACAGGAGUGUUUUUGUCAAAACUCGAGAUCAGGAGCCAAUAGUACUACCAUUUUGCCAUUGCCAGAGGUUCUUGUGCUUGACCAUUUGAUACCAGAGGUGGUCGUCCUAUACCUGUAUAUUCUAUUUUACUUUGCAUUUCUGAAAAUGUGCAGGUCAUUGACUCUAAUAUUGAGCGAUUUAUUGAUAAACAUUUGUUUACCAGGAUGUCAUCCUUACGAUGUUAUUCCAGACAGUUUUUUCUAAUUCUAUACACCUGCAUGUGGACAGAACUUAGCCAGGAUGUCAUACUUAUCAUGCUAUUCCAGUCAGUCGUUUUAUUGCCAUGUUGCUAAUAGGUGACGUCACCAUUUCAUUCUGUUGCAAAGUGUCUUCCUGGACCCCUUCCAUAUUUUGCCAAUCCAGGGUGUUAAGAAAUACCAUUCCAUCAAUGCUUAAGCCAGUUAACUUGUUAGCAUUGGUUUUUUCAAGAUUGCCGUAGUUGGUACAGACAAAGCAUAGUUUUCAAAGGCAUGUUAAAAUGCCAGCAUUAUAAGUCCAUUGCUUACCAAUUUUACCUUUGAAAUAAGCAAAGCUUAAAGACAUCUCAUUUAGUUAAUUAUAGUUAUAUUUUUAUUUUUAUUUAGAUUUGUAGCUAAGGGGGCUAUUAAACUUAAUUAUUUUWURUUUAAUWAUUUUAUAGGUUUGAGAUUGUUUAGUAUUUCUCUCCACUCUUCACACUUUUAAAGUUUYACUGGUGAAAUGCCUUUAAGCUUUGCUUAGAUAAAAGACAAAUUCUGGAAGCRUAAUGACUAUCACUGAAUAAGUGACAAGUAAUAAUGUAAAACUCCAUCCAAAAGACAUCGUAUGUGAUUCACAGACCACUUUGAGUACUUGCCGRUAAUGCAAGUUAUUACGAGUCUGACUUUCAAAAACAAACUUCCAUUUUCCCAAAAACUGAUUUUCAUCAUCAUCACAUCAAGUAUAAACAGGCAUCAAAUAUUUGCCUAAAUAUUGUGAGUAGCGAGUAAAGAAUUUGAGAAAAAGAUGAAAGUAAAAGAGAUAAUUGUUUGAUUUGCUUUUAUCCACCGCUAUCCUGUGGUCUUUAUCAAUCCUCUUAUGCUGUGUCAAUCAUCUUGUGUCCUUUUCUGCUCCAUGCAAAUGGUAUGAAAUCAUAUUCGAUUGGUUGGUCUUGUCCUGUGAAUGGUUUCUUUCUGUUUGAAAUACAUUCAUCCAUAGUGUAAUGUAUCUGCUGCUGGUCACCCUUCUGCUGUAAUUUCAGGUGAUAUUAUAAGGUUGUUCUUAGGCUGGUACAUUAAACAUUUUCUCAGGUUUGUGCCAUUUUCUGAGGUGUUUUCAUGAUUAAUACAAUUUGUUAUGAGCUCUUCUACUUUUCAUCUGCUAAUUUAUUAGUAGGCUGUGUCACAAGACUAGAGGCUACUUCUAUAUUAUCAGCAACAGAGCAAGAUCMUUUUCAUCUUAACCAUAGGAUUGUUGUAUUGAGGCCCCUGUAAAAGUACACUUUUGGUGUGUUUUCUGGUUCAGGCAUGUGUUAAUUCCUCUGUAUUUGGCUUACUACAACUAUAAUACUAACUCCAACUCAAUAACUGGUUCAUGUUAUGUUCUCCAUACCUUAAAGACCCAAGGCUAGUGGAGGGAAGGAGGUGCCUCAUUUCUCCAUUCUAGACCAUUGGUCCAAGUCAUCUGGCCUYGCCACUGCCCAAUCUCAACUACCAGUAUCUAUUUUGCACCAGACUGGAAGACCUGAAGGUUGCUGGACUAGGUGAUUGAUUAUUCUUCUCUUAGGUCAGCCAGGGCAUUUAGUGUUGUGGUGGUGCUCUCCUCUGGCAUGGAUGUCUGUUCAAUGUCAAUGUUAGUGCUGGCUAAUGCCUCCAUGUGUUCCAAUGAGCAUUGCUUGACUGGGGACUAUGUUGAUGUUGACUUGUUUAACCAUUUCGAUACGACCAUCUUAACUUCUCAUGGGUUAACUCAAUUCUGGUAUAACUAGGAAUUGCUGUAGGUACUAUAGGUGUGGCUGUAGAAACUGUACUGGUACUACUCCUUGUUGUCGCAUAGGCACUUGAUUGUGCUUGUAAUAUCUUCAAAACACAGCAUCAAAAAGUGURAAUCUUCCUCUUUAUUUGAAUGACAAACCAGGUUUAAAUGUGUUCUUUUAAGUCUUGCAGAGCGAUAAAACACAGUCUCUAUAUCUAAUAAAACUGAAUAAUACAAAAAUUAAGUAGCAAAUGCUCUGCUCUCUUAAUCAGAUUUUUGUUUCCUCAAUCCAUAUUCAAAACAUUGUCAAAAAUAUAUUAAUUUUCAAUACAAUUUCCAAAUUAAAAAUGACAAAUUUCCUUUUUAAUGCCAAUCAAUUCUCUCUGUAAACAAUCAGUUGAAUAUCAAAUUUCUAUAAACGUUUUAAAGUUUGAAUCAACUCUUCAAGCAUGUUAUUCAACAGCAAGUGAUYAAACGUCCACGACUGUAAACAAUCAUUUGUCAUCAUUUUUUGAAAAAUAUGCCUUUUCUCCAUCCACAUUACUUACCAAUACUUACAGUAAUCCUAAGGCAUGCCGAGCAAAUGAUCAUUAUUUACAAAUAAUAAGGGAAUGUUUUAUCUAUACAGCAGUCUGACUUACAGAAUAUAUCUAUGUACAAUGUUGUUUUACACUGUAGACUUAUUGAGAUUAUUAAUAGUCAGUCGUUAUAACUAAUUGCCACAAUUGGCUUUAUUGAUUCUGAAGCAAUAAUUACAUAGUAUCRGAAAAAAAUUCCUGCAUUAGGAAAAUCAGAUCACAAUCUAUAAUUCCAUGACCAGAAGCCAAGAGGUUUAGUAACAAUAAUAAAAUGCCAGGAAAAAUGCCAGGGAAAAGUGCCAGGAAUAAAUGCCAGGAAUAUCUUCAGAGGUCUURGUAUUUGUAAAAAUGCUGUUGAAUUUGAAAUUUAGUUAUCAA